UACGAAGGGGGGCUAGCGUUGUUCGGAAUUACUGGGCGUAAAGCGCACGUAGGCGGAUCGAUCAGUCAGGGGUGAAAUCCCAGGGCUCAACCCUGGAACUGCCUUUGAUACUGUCGAUCUGGAGUAUGGAAGAGGUGAGUGGAAUUCCGAGUGUAGAGGUGAAAUUCGUAGAUAUUCGGAGGAACACCAGUGGCGAAGGCGGCUCACUGGUCCAUUACUGACGCUGAGGUGCGAAAGCGUGGGGAGCAAACAGGAUUAGAAACCC
rnacentral:rRNA from 1 species